CCUACGGGGGGCAGCAGUGAGGAAUAUUGGUCAAUGGGCGGGAGCCUGAACCAGCCAAGUCGCGUGAAGGAGGAAGGUACAGAGUAUUGUAAACCUCUUUUGUCGGGGAACAAAGGCGGGGACGCGUCUCCGGAUGAGUGUACCUGAAGAAAAAGCAUCGGCUAACUCAGUGCCAGCAGCCGCGGUAAUACGGAGGAUGCGAGCGUUAUCCGGAUUUAUUGGGUUUAAAGGGUGCGCAGGCGGGUGGUUAAGUCAGCGGUAAAAUGUCGGGGCGCAACCCCGGCCGGCCGUUGAAACUGGUUGUCUAGAGUUGGAGAGAAGUAUGCGGAAGUCGUGGUGUAGCGGUGAAAUGCAUAGAUAUCACGAAGAACUCCGAUUGCGAAGGCAGCAUGCCGGCUCCAUACUGACGCUGAGGCACGAAAGCGUGGGGAUCGAACAGGAUUAGAUACCCUAGUAGUC
rnacentral:rRNA from 1 species